AGAAAUAAACUAAGGGCAACUGUGGUAUUGACCCAGGACCCUCUUGGUGCUAUUUUGUGUCUCUGUCUUCUUUCUUUACGUCUACAUCUCUAUUUUUAAUAUCUAUUGUUUUUUAAUCCUUACUCCUCCAUUCAACACUGUUUGAUGGUUGGGUGGGACCUGGCAGUCUGUGAGAUGUCUGGGAACUGAUGACAUUCAGGAGUUCAUGCUACUGAACUCCCUUGGCUGAACAGUUUGGAGAAGAGAGACUUGCUGUGGCCAUGCAUAUGUCAAAUCAUCUAACACAUCUUAAAUCAGUGAUUUACAGAAUUACAGCACCGAAACAGAUGUGAAUAUAAACAGAGCACCCCAGUGAGAAUAGCCAUGACAGAGAAGUCAGCUACAUCAUUUAUAUUUUGAUUGACAAUAAAGGGAAACCAGUG